GCCCACAGUUAGAAGAAAGUUGCACCAAUCAGAGUAGUGCAAACUCCCAGUGGUCCAACAUUUCCCAUAUUCCAAAAAUUGAAGUAGGUGGAAGCAUAAUUCAGGACAGACGUUAGUACUUUCAAGGUCAUGCUAGAACGUUGUUGUGGUAAAUCAAGACAAAUCCCUUGAACUACAGGUGCUAUGAUGAAGAUACUGAAUGG